rnacentral:tRNA from 1 species
GUGUAGUUUUAUAGUAGAAUGUUUGCCUAUCAUGCACAAGGCCCUGGGUUUGAAUCCCAGCAC